AGUAUGGAGAGGUGAGUGGAAUUCCGGUGUAGCGGUGAAAUGCGUAGAUAUCGGAAGGAACACCUGUGGCGAAAGCGGCUCACUGGACAAUAACUGACGCUGAUGCACGAAAGCUAGGGGAGCAAACAGGAUUAGAUACCCUGGUAGUCCUAGCCCUAAACGAUGAUUGCUUGAUGUGGCAGGUACCCAAUCCUGCCGUGUCGAAGCUAACGCGAUAAGCAAUCCGCCUGGGGAGUACGGUCGCAAGGCUGAAACUCAAAGGGAUUGACGGGGGCCCGCACAAGCGGUGGAGCAUGUGGUUUAAUUCGACGCAACGCGAAGAACCUUACCUGGGCUCGAAAUGUACAUGAAUCCGGCAGAAACGUCGGCGUCUCGCAAGAGACAUGUAUAUAGGUGCUGCAUGGCUGUCGUCAGCUCGUGUCGUGAGAUGUUGGGUUAAGUCCCGUAACGAGCGCAACCCUUAUCUUCAGUUGCUACCAUUUAGUUGAGCACUCUGACGAAACCGCCUCGGAUAACGGGGAGGAAGGUGGGGAUGACGUCAAGUCCUCAUGGCCUUUAUGUCCAGGGCUACACACGUGCUACAAUGGCCGGUACAAACCGCUGCAACCCCGCGAGGGUGAGCUAAUCGGAAAAAGCCGGCCUCAGUUCGGAUUGGAGUCUGCAACUCGACUCCAUGAAGCUGGAAUCGCUAGUAAUCGUGGAUCAGCACGCCACGGUGAAUACGUUCCCGGGCCUUGUACACACCGCCCGUCACAUCACGAAAGUGGGUUGCACUAGAAGUCGGUGAGCUAACUCGCAAGAGAAGCAGCCGCCCAAGGUGUA
rnacentral:rRNA from 1 species